rnacentral:rRNA from 1 species
GCAUAACGCGAAGAACCUUACCUGGCCUUGACAUGCUGAGAACUUUCCAGAGAUGGAUUGGUGCCUUCGGGAACUCUGACACAGGUGCUGCAUGGCUGUCGUCAGCUCGUGUCGUAAGAUGUUGGGUUAAGUCCCGUAACGAGCGCAACCCUUGUCCUUAGUUACCAGCACGUUAUGGUGGGCACUCUAAGGAGACUGCCGGUGACAAGCCGGAGGAAGGUGGGGAUGACGUCAAGUCAUCAUGGCCCUUACGGCCUGGGCUACACACGUGCUACAAUGGUCGGUACAGAGGGUUGCCAAGCCGCGAGGUGGAGCUAAUCUCACAAAACCGAUCGUAGUCCGGAUCGCAGUCUGCAACUCGACUGCGUGAAGUCGGAAUCGCUAGUAAUCGCGAAUCAGAAUGUCGCGGUGAAUACGUUCCCGGGUCUUGUACACACCG